UACGGGGGGUGCAAUCGUUAAUCGGAAUUACUGGGUGUAGAGCGCGCGUAGGUGUCUUGAUAAGCCGGUUGUGAAAGCCCCGGGCUCAACCUGGGAACGGCAUCCGGAACUGUCAUGCUCGAGUGCAGGAGAGGAAGGUAGAAUUCCCGGUGUAGCGGUGAAAUGCGUAGAGAUCGGGAGGAAUACCAGUGGCGAAGGCGGCCUUCUGGACUGACACUGACACUGAGGUGCGAAAGCGUGGGUAGCAAACAGG
rnacentral:misc_RNA from 1 species